AGCAGCCGCGGUAAUUCCAGCUCCAAUAGCGUAUAUUAAAGUUGUUGCAGUUAAAAAGCUCGUAGUUGAAUUUCGGGGUCAGUAGGCUGGUCAUGCCACAGGUAUGCACUGGUCUCACUGAUUCCUCCUUCCUGAUGAACCGUAAUGCCAUUAAUUUGGUGUUGCGGGGAGACUGGACUGUUACUUUGAAAAAUUAGAGUGUUUAAAGCAGGCUAACGCUUGAAUACAUUAGCAUGGAAUAACGAAAUAGGACGUUCGAUCUUAUUUUGUUGGUUUCUAAGAUUGACGUAAUGAUUAAUAGGGAUAGUUGGGGGCAUUAGUAUUCAAUUGUCAGAGGUGAAAUUCUUGGAUUUAUUGAAGACUAACUACUGCGAAAGCAUUUGCCAAGGAUGUUUUCAUUAAUCAAGAACGAAAGUUAGGGGAUCGAAGACGAUCAGAUACCGUCGUAGUCUUAACCAUAAACUAUGCCGACUAGGGAUCGG
rnacentral:sRNA from 1 species